GUUCUUAUAGUUGAAUACAACAGCAGUUUUUCAGAUUGCGGGUCUAGGUUAAAGUCCUUGUAGGAAUU
rnacentral:tRNA from 1 species